rnacentral:rRNA from 1 species
ACACGCUGGCGGCGCGCCUAACACAUGCAAGUCGAGCGAGAAUCUAUUAAUUGAUCCCUUCGGGGAGAUUUUUGAUAGAGGAAAGCGGCGGACGGGUGAGUAACACGUGAGCAACCUGCCUUUCAGUGGGGGACAACAGUUGGAAACGACUGCUAAUACCGCAUAACGUCAUUUUGAGGCAUCUCUGAAUGACCAAAGAUUUAUCGCUGAAAGAUGGGCUCGCGUCUGAUUAGAUAGUUGGUGAGGUAACGGCUCACCAAGUCGACGAUCAGUAGCCGGACUGAGAGGUUGAACGGCCACAUUGGGACUGAGACACGGCCCAGACUCCUACGGGAGGCAGCAGUGGGGAAUAUUGGGCAAUGGGGGAAACCCUGACCCAGCAACGCCGCGUGAAGGAAGAAGGCCUUCGGGUUAUAAACUUCUUUUAGCAGGGACGAAGAACGUGACGGUACCUGCAGAAAAAGCAACGGCUAACUACGUG